GAUGAACGCUGGCGGCGUGCUUAACACAUGCAAGUCGAACGAAGCAUCCAUGAUUGAGACUUCGGUGGAUUGAUUGGAUGACUGAGUGGCGGACGGGUGAGUAACGCGUGGGCAACCUGCCUCGUACAGGGGGACAACAGUUGGAAACGACUGCUAAUACCGCAUAAGCGCACAGCUUCGCAUGAAGCAGUGUGAAAAACUGAGGUGGUACGAGAUGGGCCCGCGUUGGAUUAGGUAGUUGGUGGGGUAACGGCCUACCAAGUCAACGAUCAGUAGCCGGUCUGAGAGGAUGAACGGCCACAUUGGGACUGAGAUACGGCCCAG
rnacentral:rRNA from 1 species